UUUGAUACAUUUAGGUCUUAAAAUAUGUCAGACUAUGAAUCCUUCUGCUGUCUACUCUCAAAUAUGUGGCAGAAAGCAAGUAGAUUCAUUAUGUUGUUUUCAUAAGCAUCUAAUACAUACAUACACCAUGUAAGUGGGACAGAAAUUAUUCAUAUAUACAAGUUUGGUGAUUAUAUCAAAGCUUAAUUAUGAGCCUCUUGCUUCUCAGACUCUAUAGAGAACAUCGGUAAACUGGCUCCUAAAAUUAAGAAUCUGUCUCUGAUGUGUUUGUGUAUAUGUCUUUGCUAGAAGAGGCAAGUAGCCUUCUACGCUGUGCUUAACCAAAAUUAUCUUUUUUUUCCCCAUUGUCUUCCUUGUAUUGAAUUCUUAUUCUUUCCUUGACCUCCACUUUUAGAAGGACCCUUGUGUUGUUCUUGGGAAAAAUUUUCCUUUGUCUUGUGUUAAAUUGCUAUAUCCUCUAUGAAUACAUAUAAUUUGUAAGCUACGUGAUUGGUAUAGCCAAUAUUUAGUUUAUAUUUACUUCUUUCUACUGCAUAGGCUGUUUUGGCUUUUAAGAAAAUAUGGAGUACGUUUCUUUAUAUUUGGAUGCAGUUGAAAUGUAAAAGCUUAACUGUAAGACAUGAAUCAAAUGUGCUGUUCAGACUAAUCUAUUAUUCGGAUAUACCUGAAACUAUAUCAAUUAAUCUUAAUCAUGUCUAUUCUUUUAAAUUGCAUAUCUUAUUAUUAGAAAUGGUUUGAGAGCUGAGAUGUAAUCUUCUAAAUGAAGGAAUAAAAAUAAGAGCAGGAUGAGCCAGCUAGCCAUUUUUCUUCCUAAAAACUUAAAAUAAAUGGAGACCAAGAAAUGUUAGACAUCGUUAAAUAAAUCAAAGGUCUUAUGACAUCUCUGAUAUUUUAUUAACAAAAUUUUGAUUUGAUUUAUCUAUUUAAAAUAACUAGCAAGGUAUUCUGUAAGUGCUAAAACAUAAAUUACAAAUGCAAACCCUUGAUUUAUGUUAAUGGUGGAUAACGUGUAGGGCAUGGUGAGUGAUCACAGAGUUUUGCAGUGUUCCUUGAAGCAGGGAUAAAGUCAUAAGAAAGUACUGAAGAAAGCAAAGUGCUGCCUGCAGCUCCAUUUGGUGAUAUAUAGACGGUGUCUUCUAAGAAAAGAUAAAAUUGUGAUGAUGUGAACUUUCACUUCUCUUUCAGACAUCUCCAGAUCUUAGUGGAUUCUGCUGGGCAGUUCUAAAUGUGUGCAUGGAUUUCUGAAAGGAUAACAUAGGAGUUUUUAGAAAAGUAUCUACUCAGGCAGAUCACAGGGAAGGAGGUACAAUGUGAAGAUCUAAGGAUUUCCUUUUUGCUUUACUUUACCUGAAGAGGAACACAUUUAAAUGAUACUGCAAUCUCUAAAACUGCAAAUGAACAUCUUCUGCUGCUCUAGUGGACUGACAGCCCUGAGGGAAAGAAAGUACAGUGAGAUCUCUGGCUCUCACUGAGCUCAUGCAGCAGAAAUGAUUAGCAGGUACUCAUGUACAAAUGCAGCUUUCAACCUCAGCCUUUCACAUGUGUUCAAAGUUCCUUCGACUUCUCGGGAAGAAUAUUACAGCCUCAUUAUCUUUUGAUUUGUUUUCGAGGGUGGCAUUGCUAGGACAUUUUCUGUGGUUGUGGUUGACCAUUUUUAUUUUCAGGAUUUUAUUUGCUACUCCUUUGUCUCUGAAGAGGAAGUUUUAUUACUGAAUAACAGAUAUCAACACUAGGGAAAAAGGACUCCCAAUUGUCUCUUGUCUUCCAGAACAGAUCAUUCAUCUGUUCUGAGACCUGAGUCCCUAAGGGCCAACACCUCUCAAGCUGCAGGCAGCAAACCACUUCAUGGGAUCCCUGGCUCCCAAAGUUACAUGCCAUGUGGCUGGACAGUGUGAGUUCUCUACUCAGGGUUGCAGACCACAGAAACCACUGGAUAGAAUCUCUUGGCCAAAUACUUACAUUCUGAAACCUAAGAGUUAAAAUGGCCAUUUGUUUGGUGAGCCAAGGAGGCACGGAGCUGCGGGGUGCACAGAAGGAGUGUUGUGGAUCCUUUUUCUGGACUUGCAGUCAGAUGCAUCAGCUCUGGAGAGGAAGGCAGGAUCACGUGGCACAGCAUAGCUGCUGGGAAAUCCUUAUAUGUAUUGGGCACUUCAGAAGACAAAGGGAUUGUUGGGAAUUAGAAAUAUUUUUUUAAGUUUUUGUGUUUAUGUGUAUAUUUUAUUUGGAAAUGUUUAUCCUGGUACAUUCGUUUAGAUAGCCCCAGCUUUAAGGUUUUAUUGAGGAAUAAUAGACAAUAAACUACACAGUUUUUAAAGGGUA